ensembl:snRNA U6 U6 spliceosomal RNA
GUACUUGCUUCAGCUGCACAGAUUCCAAAAUUAUAAUGAUACAGAGAAGACCACCAUGGUCCCUGUGCAAGGAUGACACACAAAUUCAUCAAGUAUUCUGUAUUUUU